rfam:Schistosoma margrebowiei strain Zambia genome assembly, scaffold: SMRZ_scaffold0000086
UUUCAGCUGACGAGUCUCAAAUGGGACGAAACCCGCAUCAAACUGGAA